rnacentral:lncRNA from 1 species
AACCAUUGAUUUAGGAAUAGCUCCAAGCAAGCUUGAAUCUUAUCAGGGUGGAGAUAUCGAGAGUAUAGAUCCCAUGGAGAGAUUAAAAUCUGUGAAAGGUCAUCUUGUUUCCUUCCCUUUGGAUUUUAUGUGCAAAGAAGAUUUAAGACCUGUGUUUAAUGAAAGUGAGUACUAUGCAUCUGCUCAAGUUUUUCAUUAAAGCUUCUCGUCUUAUGGACUACACAAAUCAGAAAAAUUAUCAAGUGUCUCAGUGGGUUAUGCGUUCUACAGAAAUUCUAUAGGACACCAUUUCAGAGCAUACAAUUUCCCGCUUUCUUAUUUUGACUGUGUUCUGUAUCACAACAUUGUAUAAAAGUGGCGAUACACACUUGUGAAGCUAUUUGUUGAAUACUGAGGAAGGUGCACACAUACUAAGAUAAGCUUUAUGUUACUAGCAAAAGAGGAUAGAAUUGUUGAUAAUUGUGCUCACUUAGGCCAAUAGGUUCACACUUGACAGGCUCAGAGGUCAAUUUGACUGUUGGAUUUCUGUAACGCAUGGUUCAUAGCCAAGUGUUUUGAGCUACUAUAGGAUCUUUUCCAAUUGAUUCAGUUUUGACUGAACAUUUUGGGUAGAUGAGCUCUCUCUACAGUAAAUAGUUUUUUGGUUACAUUAUCCUCCAUACUCCGCAUUUAUGAUUGAACACUGCAGCAGCUGUUUUCUGUUCACUUAUAAUUUAUGCAAUGUAGAGAGAUAAUGCGUUAUCUGUUGGGAGCAAUUUCUAUUUGAGCUCCUGGGUUUUGCUUUGCGAAGCACUUUAGGUUGUAUAAUCCAUUCAUAUCAACAAUCAUAUGAAGUACCAUUUCUAUUAUACUAGAUGGGCACGGCACGGGCCCAACAUGUGCAUUUGUGUAUCUUCAACUUUUUUUGAUUUAAAAUGCUGAAAAGGAAAAUUUGAGCUUUGAUUAUGAUUGUCAUUGCAUAAUGCAUAAAAACAUAUGUAAAAGAAAUUUUAUCAUCGUUGUAGUUCCAGUUAAAUAACAGGAGCUCAAAAACUAAAUAUAUCUUCUAUAGUUGAUGCAAAGGAACUUUCAUCCAUUCAAAUGUCUUCCCUGCAUAAGAGUUGUGCAAAUCAAAGUUUUGACCAAAAACUUGAAGCAAAUCUUAAUUGUUAACAAUAUAAACUUAUUUUUUUAAUAUUGUGUUCACAUUACUCAAAUCAAAUACUACUAUAGAGAACCUAGUGGCGACUUGUUUAUGAAGCUAUUAGAACUGAAAAUGUUAUAACAACGAAAAAACAGAGAAUAUAAUUUACACUUGAUUCUCUUAUGUCGAGACUUCAUGAAAUCACUUUUCAUAAUAGAAAGGAUUUUCAUUUUUCAAAAAAUAGAAAAUGUGGAGUACAUUGGUAAGAAACUUUUGAGUUGAAGGAUUUCAAGGAGAAACGACAUCUUCUCCUAAUCAUAAAGCAAGUAUUUUAAGAAUUUGUCAAACCUUUGAAAUAUCUCUCAAAAAAUCUUCCUACUACCUGGAGAUAGGAGUUGAUUUCCUCCUUUAUGGUGUCUUGCACUUCGAUCAUUUUGUAAGUAAUAUCCUUAUUUGUCAGAUUUAAUUAGUAAAUGCUUUUGUGUCUGCGGUAUGUCACUUUACCUCUUAACCUACAAUCUCUGUUUCGGCAAUACACCAUCUACGAUAAAUUUCACUGUUAGUUCUUUUCUUUUAUCAUGAGACCAAUUAUAUAUAGUCACUUGUCUUACCUUGUCCUCUGUCAAUAAUAUUAGGACUUCGAGAGACAAAGGUGAAAUUAAAAGAAGGAACUUCUUUUAGGAAUAAAAUGGCAUUAAAAUCUCUAUAUUCCUUUUCUUAAUUAUUAUCAAAUCAAAUAGCUUACUACUUUUUGAACUUGGGGAACAUUAUAAAGACAUGAAAUAACAUACAAGACAUGAAAAUGACACCAUUGUAAGAGCUAAUGUUCACUGGUUCUAACAGAUACUUUAACAUUUCAUGAGUUCCCAUUAAAUAUAGAGGCAACUAAUAUAUUAUAAAGAGAUGCGGCAGAACACCAUCAAAACCAGAUCAUUCUUUAGCCACUACAUAACAUUGGCAUAUUCAUAGACAGCAGAAAAUAUAACCACUUAGAUAAUUUCAUUUGCGUGCUAAAAACAACUUACCAUUAAACUCUCCGCAAAGCUUGUCCUAUUGGUACCCUUUAGCCAAAAUCGCUUCCCCUUAUUCUUCAUUUUUCCUCGGACAAUGAAUCUAUUUAGUCAUGGCACAAAAACAAUAUGAAUUAUUUUUCUUGUAAGAAUUAACUAAAUUAACAUAAGGGAACCAUGAAUGAAGUUGAAAGGCACAUAAAAUUGAGAUUUUUUUGCUAAGUCUCAACAAUAAUGCAAAGAUAUUCUGACUUUCUAACUAUUGCACUUCUUCAAAUAGCUGGUGUGUGUUAAAAAUAUAAACAUAAGAUAAAUGUAAAGAAUCAUAACCAUAAUACAAAAUACAGAAAAUAUAUAGUUUAUACAUAAUUCUAUCAUUGUGACACUCCUAUUAUGUGUUAUCAUGUUAUGUGAUGCUCUUCUUUUAAGACAAAAUUUCAACAUUUUGCUUGUUCACAUGAUAAGUCAAAUGUAAUAGUGAGAUGAUUAAAGAAAGUAAGCUCACGAAAUAUCAUGUCUUCACAUAUAGGCUCUUUCUUAUAUAUUAUUUUUACAUCUUCCGCUACCUACUCCAUGUAAACAUAGUAAGAUGACAUUAGAUGCACUCACGAAAAAUGGUUAAUAGGACAGAAGGUGUGAUAGAUAAACUUUAGGGUAGAACUUCCUAUUACCACAGAAUACCAGCAAUCCAUUCCUAUGAUCUCACACAACAACUUUAGAAUGCCUAAUUUAAAAAAUAAAUAAAAGAAUAAUUUGUACUUGAUGCAUAUCGUCAAAAACUUUGC